rfam:Candidate division WOR_3 bacterium SM23_42 WORSMTZ_44, whole genome shotgun sequence.
GGAGAGGUGUCCGAGCGGCCCAAGGAGCACGACUGGAAAUCGUGUAUCCGCCGGAAGGCGGAUCGCGGGUUCAAAUCCCGCCCUCUCCG